UCGUCUUACAAAAAUGUUAAUGGAAGUGAUUCAGAAAGCAACAAGGACAUGUUUUCCUAACUGUGAAGAUUAGGACUUGGUGGCAUCAAGCCGGCA
rnacentral:lncRNA from 1 species